AUUGAACGCUGGCGGCAUGCUUUACACAUGCCAGUCGAGCGGCAGCGCGGGGGCAACCCUGGCGGCGAGCGGCGAACGGGUGAGUAAUGCAUCGGAACGUAUCCUCGAGUGGGGGAUAACCCAGCGAAAGUUGGGCUAAUACCGCAUGAGCUCUGAGGAGGAAAGCGGGGGACCUGCGAGGGCCUCGCGCUGGAGGAGCGGCCGAUGUCCGAUUAGCUAGUUGGUGGGGUAAAGGCUUACCAAGGCGACGAUCGGUAGCUGGUCUGAGAGGAUGAUCAGCCACACUGGGACUGAGACACGGCCCAGACUCCUACGGGAGGCAGCAGUGGGGAAUUUUGGACAAUGGGGGCAACCCUGAUCCAGCCAUGCCGCGUGAGUGAAGAAGGCCUUCGGGUUGUAAAGCUCUUUCGGACGGAACGAAAUGGGCGGGACUAAUACUCCUGUCUGAUGACGGUACCGUAAGAAGAAGCACCGGCUAACUACGUG
rnacentral:rRNA from 1 species